rnacentral:lncRNA from 1 species
CAUUUAUCAGAGUAUGACUGAUGUGCUGAUAUAACCCUAAUUGUCGAACACAGGAAUGCUGUAAUACAACUUCAUUGUAAGUGACUCAGGGCCAUAAAUAUACUUAACAGCUGCAGUGUGGAAGGAAAAGCUUCUGCAAGUUAAAGAACUUCUCCUGAGUCUCAUCAGUAAUUGGUGAACUUGGUUGCUUUAGCAAUGCUUUCAUUACUGCUGUGUCUAUAAAAUGGCAUUGCAUGUUUUAGACCACAUUUCUUUCUGUAUUCUCAGUGCAAACUAAGAACGUAUUAUAAUUCUAACUUCUUGUUAGAAUUAUAAACAAUGUAUAAGGUAAAAAUCUUAGUGCUCUUCUGCAGCAUAUCCUAUACUGGAAACUUCAGUUUCUGUGCUAAUAUAAAUCGCUGAUCUUCAUACCUGUUUAUCAGUUUUGAAUGGCUCCUUGCUGUUAUAUAACAAAAGAAAAUAAAUAGAUUUACUUUAUAACCUUAAACCUACAUUCUCUGCUUUUCAGAAAUUAUGAGCAGUAGCAAAGAAUCUUAUCUACUUCUGAAAGAUUUUGGAGAAAUACCUUCAAAUUUUAUGCGAAGAGGGAGAAACAGCUUAUGAGCUUCAAGACAGUACCUAAGUCCUUUACAUCUAACUCCAAGCACCUGGCUCUCUUCAGAAAGGAAAAACUAUUCAUCUGUCAUUCUCCAGCUUGAAAUUGGACAUUUCCAGGCACUGUUUGCCAGGUACUCCAGCAGGCCAACUCUGUGAAGACAGAUACAGGGUACCAGCCAGGCUAGGAUGUCAGCUUCCAGGAUGUAGAAAAUGACUGGGAAGACAGUAUAGAAGGCCGGUACUGCGCAGAUACUAUCCUUGUGCAAGGUUUCCACCACUUGUUCUAUGACACACAAUGAGGGAUAUUUUCUUGAAGAUAUGAGAACUUUCUUCAACCAAUUGCCACUGAGUUACCUGGCUGAGCAAUCAAAAAAACCCUGCAACUCUGUCCAAUAGUAAUGAUGUGUUGCUGGAGAUAAGUAUAUUAGCCAUUUCAUACAAAUAUGAACUAUCAGUCUUAACUUUGAUUUGGCUUAGUUUUUGUAUAAACUUUUGAAUGCUCUCUUGGAUUUGCUAAUUUGUAUGGAAUAUAAAACGUAUGUCGAAUGCAAC